GGGCGUGAAUGAGUACCCGGCUUCCGGCGGGAGCGUGUGCGAGGAUCUGAUUGGCCGGUUAUUUAUGCAAACAUCUUACUUUCUAAGAAGGGUGUGACCACAACGAGCCUAAUGAAGACUGAUGAAGUUUAGAGAAGAGGUCAAUGUUGAAGACAUCUUCCCUGCACAAAAUGUUAAUCUACUAUUGGAGAAAACGAAUCAGGAUUCAUACUUGAACUACAACUCAAACCAGAAGACAAAAGGAAGUUGGAGCUGAAUUGAAAGGAUGGCUUGAAAGGUCUGCUUAGUGUGACAAAUAAAGGAGUUGGAAGAGUUGGUUAUGUUGUGCAUCUAAAGGCAACAAGAAACAUUAUUCCACAGGUUAUUCAGUUGUCUGGCAUUUCACUAUAUAUGCUAUGCAUAAGCAAAAAUGCCACCAUGAAGAUAACUUUAUCUUAUGUGCCAACAUCCCCUGGAAGGAAAUGAGGAGACAGAAAAAUUCUAACAACUUGAUAAAGACAUCCAAAUGAAAUCAAUAUGUAUUGUAAUACUCAGUGACUUGUAUGUAGAAGUGGAAAACAGAGAAAGAUGGUGAGAAAUAAGUUGGAAACUAUGAUUCAGAAUGAAGAAACAAGAGCUCAAAGGCUUAUAGAUUACAGAGAAUAAUAGAAUUUGAAGGUUGGAGGAACCUCCCUGGUCAUCUAGUCUAAGCCAUAACACAAAAGAAUUUCUACUCUAACAUUUGUUAGUGAUUAUCCAGCCUUCCCCUAGAGGGGGCACUCAUCAACUUUCUGGAUAGGUAGACUCCCAGUCUGUGACAGAAUUGUUAUCUAGGAUUGCCAGGCAUCAUUGCCAGCAUUGUCCCCCACUUCAAGCUUCUUCGUCUUGUCAAAGGGUUGAGACAGUUAACGUUUCCAUAUUUGAACCUGGUCAGAGAUGGCUCAUUAUAAUUGGUAAUGCCUGACAUGUGUCUGCUCCUCCCCUCUGGCUCAACCAGACACUAACAUGUCCUGUGGUUGUUUUGUUUCAUUUUUCCUUUCUAAAGAAAUGAGUUUUUGUUUAAAACUUAGCCAUCAACAAAAAAUAAAGAGAAAAUUACACGUAAAAUCAUAAACUCCUAAGUGUUCAUUUUUUUUCUCCUAGAAUAAAA